CCUACGGGGGGCUGCAGUGGGGAAUAUUGGACAAUGGGGGCAACCCUGAUCCAGCCAUGCCGCGUGUGUGAAGAAGGCCCUCGGGUUGUAAAGCACUUUCAGUGAGGAAGGACGCCUGGUGGUUAAUACCCAUCAGGAAAGACAUCACCCACAGAAGAAGCACCGGCUAACUCCGUGCCAGCAGCCGCGGUAAUACGGAGGGUGCGAGCGUUAAUCGGAAUUACUGGGCGUAAAGCGCGCGUAGGUGGCUUGAUAAGCCGGUUGUGAAAGCCCCGGGCUCAACCUGGGAACGGCAUCCGGAACUGUCAAGCUAGAGUGCAGGAGAGGAAGGUAGAAUUCCCGGUGUAGCGGUGAAAUGCGUAGAGAUCGGGAGGAAUACCAGUGGCGAAGGCGGCCUUCUGGACUGACACUGACACUGAGGUGCGAAAGCGUGGGUAGCAAACAGGAUUAGAUACCCUGGUAGUC
rnacentral:rRNA from 1 species